CUAGUGACAAUUAACGGUCAUCCGGUGAUUUCCUCAUACACGGCCUUGAGUUUUCGCUUUUGUUUGGUCAAAAAGGUAUUUAUUCUUUUAUAUUAUUAGACAUUAUAGCUACCGUUAGAAGACAAUGGGAAGAAAUGCCAUCGACUAACCACAGCUCACAACCAGAGACACGCGGACAUACCAUCCACCAACACACACACAAAAUGAGCACUACAAAUUUACAAUUGUUCAAUUAAAAUAAACGUAUUUUACUUCAUACAA